rnacentral:rRNA from 1 species
CUUAACCCGUGUCGUUGCUUCGGCGGGCUUAACCGCCCGCCGGAGGUACCCAAACUCAAUGUCUUUUUAUAGUGUAUCUCUGAGCAACAAAACAAACAAAGUCAAAACUUUCAACAACGGAUCUCUUGGUUCUGGCAUCGAUGAAGAACGCAGCGAAAUGCGAUAAGUAAUGUGAAUUGCAGAAUUCAGUGAAUCAUCGAAUCUUUGAACGCACAUUGCGCCCGCCGGUAUUCCGGCGGGCAUGCCUGUUCGAGCGUCAUUUCAACCCUCAAGCCCCCAAGGCUUGGUGUUGGGGCACCCGGUGGUAACCACGACCGGGGCCCCCAAUUGCAUCGGCGGGACCGCUUGGACCCUGAGCGCAGUAGCUGUAUUUCGCUCGGCGGGAUCUCCACGGCGGGCCACCCGGCCGCUAAACCCACCAAACGUACCAAAGGUUGACCUCGGAUCAGGUAGGAAUACCCGCUGAACUUAAGCAUAUCA